rnacentral:piRNA from 1 species
UCCACGCAUCGACCUGGUAUUGC